rnacentral:rRNA from 1 species
GAUGAACGCUGGCGGCGUGCCUAAUACAUGCCAGUCGAGCGAACGGACGAGAAGCUUGCUUCUCUGAUGUUAGCGGCGGACGGGUGAGUAACACGUGGAUAACCUACCUAUAAGACUGGGAUAACUUCGGGAAACCGGAGCUAAUACCGGAUGAUAUUUUGAACCGCAUGGUUCAAAAGUGAAAGACGGUCUUGCUGUCACUUAUAGAUGGAUCCGCGCUGCAUUAGCUAGUUGGUAAGGUAACGGCUUACCAAGGCAACGAUGCAUAGCCGACCUGAGAGGGUGAUCGGCCACACUGGAACUGAGACACGGUCCAGACUCCUACGGGAGGCAGCAGUAGGGAAUCUUCCGCAAUGGGCGAAAGCCUGACGGAGCAACGCCGCGUGAGUGAUGAAGGUCUUCGGAUCGUAAAACUCUGUUAUUAGGGAAGAACAGAUGUGUAAGUAACUGUGCACAUCUUGACGGUACCUAAUCAGAAAGCCACGGCUAACUACGU